AGAGUUUGAUUAUGGCUCAGGAUGAACGCUGGCGGCGUGCUUAACACAUGCAAGUCGAAUGAAGCACUACCGACGGAACUUUUCGGAGGGAAGAUGGUAAUGACUGAGUGGCGGACGGGUGAGUAACGCGUGGGCAACCUGCCCCAUAGAGGGGGACAACAGCUGGAAACGGCUGCUAAUACCGCAUAACAAGGAGAGAGCGCAUGUUCUUUUCUUCAAAGAUUUAUCGCUAUGGGAUGGACCCGCGUCUGAUUAGCUGGUUGGUGAGGUAACGGCUCACCAAGGCGACGAUCAGUAGCCGGCUUGAGAGAGUGGACGGCCACAUUGGGACUGAGACACGGCCCAGACUCCUACGGGAGGCAGCAGUGGGGAAUAUUGCACAAUGGGGGAAACCCUGAUGCAGCGACGCCGCGUGAGUGAAGAAGUAUUUCGGUAUGUAAAGCUCUAUCAGCAGGGAAGAUAAUGACGGUACCUGACUAAGAAGCCCCGGCUAACUACGUGCCAGCAGCCGCGGUAAUACGUAGGGGGCAAGCGUUAUCCGGAUUUACUGGGUGUAAAGGG
rnacentral:rRNA from 1 species